rnacentral:lncRNA from 1 species
GUCUUCAUUCACUUUCCCCCCUCAGUUUCUGAAAUGAUUCUCCAGAAUUUCUCCUCAUAAAAAAGGACUGAAUGUGGGCCCAGUUGGCGUCAUUCUGCUUUGACCUAAACAUUCCCAUCUGAUUGGGUGGCAGAGAUCAUUUUUGGAAAGUUCUUCCGUGUCCCGAUGUAGAAGAAAUAGCAAAUUGGACAUAUUGAAAGGGUCAUCUUUGAGAAGGGGGUUCCUGGACUCCUCACCUCCAGGAUGAGCACUGCAGUGUCGUGACCCUUGGGGUUUUGUAUGCCCUGGAGAUGCGAGAUUUUCCUCUGGCAGCAGGAGGCACGCACCCAGAGAAUGCUGGAGCUGCAAGGGGAAAGGACCCACUUCCACAGCAGAGAAAACAAAGAGGAAAAAGGCAUACAGGCAGCGAGCGCUAAGGGAAGCACCCAGCAAGCA